rnacentral:rRNA from 1 species
AAUGGACGAAAGUCUGAUCCAGCCAUGCCGCGUGCAGGAUGACGGCCUAUGGGUUGUAAACUGCUUUUAUACAGGAAGAACACUCCCACGUGUGGGGGCUUGACGGUACUGUACGAAUAAGGAUCGGCUAACUCCGUGCCAGCAGCCGCGGUAAUACGGAGGAUCCAAGCGUUAUCCGGAAUUAUUGGGUUUAAAGGGUCCGCAGGCGGUCUAUUAAGUCAGAGGUGAAAUCUUGCAGCUCAACUGUAAAAUUGCCUUUGAUACUGGUAGACUUGAGUCAUUGUGAAGUGGUUAGAAUGUGUGGUGUAGCGGUGAAAUGCAUAGAUAUCACACAGAAUACCAAUUGCGAAGGCAGAUCACUAACAAUGUACUGACGCUCAUGGACGAAAGCGUGGGGAGCGAACAGGAUU